rnacentral:rRNA from 1 species
UACGGAGGGUGCAAGCGUUAUCCGGAUUUACUGGGUUUAAAGGGUGCGUAGGUGGGUAGGUAAGUCAGUGGUGAAAUCUUCAAGCUUAACUUGGAAACUGCCAUUGAUACUAUUUAUCUUGAAUACUUUGGAGGUAAGCGGAAUAUGUCAUGUAGCGGUGAAAUGCUUAGAUAUGACAUAGAACACCAAUUGCGAAGGCAGCUUACUACAGGAAUAUUGACACUGAUGCACGAAAAGCGUGGGGAUCAAACAGG